AUCCUGGCUCAGGAUGAACGCUGGCGGCGUGCCUAAUACAUGCAAGUCGAGCGAACGGACGAGAAGCUUGCUUCUCUGAUGUUAGCGGCGGACGGGUGAGUAACACGUGGAUAACCUACCUAUAAGACUGGGAUAACUUCGGGAAACCGGAGCUAAUACCGGAUAAUAUUUUGAACCGCAUGGUUCAAAAGUGAAAGACGGUCUUGCUGUCACUUAUAGAUGGAUCCGCGCUGCAUUAGCUAGUUGGUAAGGUAACGGCUUACCAAGGCAACGAUGCAUAGCCGACCUGAGAGGGUGAUCGGCCACACUGGAACUGAGACACGGUCCAGACUCCUACGGGAGGCAGCAGUAGGGAAUCUUCCGCAAUGGGCGAAAGCCUGACGGAGCAACGCCGCGUGAGUGAUGAAGGUCUUCGGAUCGUAAAACUCUGUUAUUAGGGAAGAACAUAUGUGUAAGUAACUGUGCACAUCUUGACGGUACCUAAUCAGAAAGCCACGGCUAACUACGUGCCAGCAGCCGCGGUAAUACGUAGGUGGCAAGCGUUAUCCGGAAUUAUUGGGCGUAAAGCGCGCGUAGGCGGUUUUUUAAGUCUGAUGUGAAAGCCCACGGCUCAACCGUGGAGGGUCAUUGGAAACUGGAAAACUUGAGUGCAGAAGAGGAAAGUGGAAUUCCAUGUGUAGCGGUGAAAUGCGCAGAGAUAUGGAGGAACACCAGUGGCGAAGGCGACUUUCUGGUCUGUAACUGACGCUGAUGUGCGAAAGCGUGGGGAUCAAACAGGAUUAGAUACCCUGGUAGUCCACGCCGUAAACGAUGAGUGCUAAGUGUUAGGGGGUUUCCGCCCCUUAGUGCUGCAGCUAACGCAUUAAGCACUCCGCCUGGGGAGUACGACCGCAAGGUUGAAACUCAAAGGAAUUGACGGGGACCCGCACAAGCGGUGGAGCAUGUGGUUUAAUUCGAAGCAACGCGAAGAACCUUACCAAAUCUUGACAUCCUUUGACAACUCUAGAGAUAGAGCCUUCCCCUUCGGGGGACAAAGUGACAGGUGGUGCAUGGUUGUCGUCAGCUCGUGUCGUGAGAUGUUGGGUUAAGUCCCGCAACGAGCGCAACCCUUAAGCUUAGUUGCCAUCAUUAAGUUGGGCACUCUAAGUUGACUGCCGGUGACAAACCGGAGGAAGGUGGGGAUGACGUCAAAUCAUCAUGCCCCUUAUGAUUUGGGCUACACACGUGCUACAAUGGACAAUACAAAGGGCAGCGAAACCGCGAGGUCAAGCAAAUCCCAUAAAGUUGUUCUCAGUUCGGAUUGUAGUCUGCAACUCGACUACAUGAAGCUGGAAUCGCUAGUAAUCGUAGAUCAGCAUGCUACGGUGAAUACGUUCCCGGGUCUUGUACACACCGCCCGUCACACCACGAGAGUUUGUAACACCCGAAGCCGGUGGAGUAACCUUUUAGGAGCUAGCCGUCGAAGGUGGGACAAAUGAUUGGGGUGAAGUCGUAACAGCU
rnacentral:rRNA from 2 species